rnacentral:rRNA from 1 species
CCUACGGGAGACAGCAGUGAGGAAUAUUGGUCAAUGGACGAGAGUCUGAACCAGCCAAGUAGCGUGAAGGAUGACUGCCCUAUGGGUUGUAAACUUCUUUUAUCAAGGAGUAAAAAGAGUCACGUGUGCCUUUUUGCAUGUACUUUAUGAAUAAGGAUCGGCUAACUCCGUGCCAGCAGCCGCGGUAAUACGGAGGAUCCGAGCGUUAUCCGGAUUUAUUGGGUUUAAAGGGAGCGUAGAUGGGUUGUUAAGUCAGUUGUGAAAGCCUGGGGCUCAACCCGGCCGAGCCGUGGAAACUGGGUGUCUUGAGAUGUCGGGAGGUAGGCGGAAUGCGUAGUGUAGCGGUGAAAUGCUUAGAUAUUGCGAAGAACUCCGAUUGCGAAGGCAGCAUACCGUAGGGGUUCUGACGCUGAGGCACGAAAGCGUGGGUAUCGAACAGGAUUAGAUACCCGAGUAGUC